rnacentral:rRNA from 1 species
UACGGAGGAUGCAAGCGUUAUCCGGAAUGAUUGGGCGUAAAGCGUCCGCAGGUGGCGAUGUAAGUCUGCUGUUAAAGAGUGAGGCUCAACCUCAUAAGAGCAGUGGAAACUACAUAGCUAGAGUGCGGUAGGGGCAGAGGGAAUUCCUGGUGUAGCGGUGAAAUGCGCAGAGAUCAGGAAGAACACCGGUGGCGAAAGCGCUCUGCUAGGCCGCAACUGACACUGAGGGACGAAAGCUAGGGGAGCGAAUGGG